GAUGAACGCUGGCGGCGUGCUUAACACAUGCAAGUCGAACGGAAAGGCCGAAGCUUGCUUCGGUACUCGAGUGGCGAACGGGUGAGUAACACGUGGGUGAUCUGCCCUGUACUUCGGGAUAAGCUUGGGAAACUGGGUCUAAUACCGGAUAUGACGAUCUCUUGGAUGGGGUUGUGGAAAGCUUUUGCGGUAUGGGAUGAGCUCGCGGCCUAUCAGCUUGUUGGUGGGGUAAUGGCCUACCAAGGCGUCGACGGGUAGCCGGCCUGAGAGGGUGUACGGCCACAUUGGGACUGAGAUGCGGCCCAGACUCCUACGGGAGGCAGAAGUGGGGAAUAUUGCACAAUGGGCGCAAGCCUGAUGCAGCGACGCCGCGUGGGGGAUGACGGCCUUCGGGUUGUAAACUCCUUUCGCAAUCGACGAAGCCUUUUGGUGACGGUAGGUUGAGAAGAAGCACCGGCUAACUACGUG
rnacentral:rRNA from 1 species